rnacentral:misc_RNA from 1 species
GAAAUGCGAUAAGUAAUGUGAAUUGUAGAAUUCAGUGAAUCAUCGAAUCUUUGAACGCACCUUGCGCUCCUUGGUAUUCCUUGGAGCAUGCCUGUUUGAGUAUCAUGAAAUCUUCAAAGUAAAUCUUUUGUUAACUCAAUUGGUUUCUACUUUGGUAUUGGAGGUCUUUGCAGCUUCACACCUGCUCCUCUUUGUUCAUUAGCUGGAUCUCAGUGUUAUGCUUGGUUCCACUCGGCGUGAUAAGUUAUCUAUCGCUGAGGACACUGUAAAAGGUGGCCAAGGUAAAUGCAGAUGAACCGCUUCUAAUAGUCCAUUGACUUGGACAAUACUUUUAUGAUCCGAUCUCAAAUCAGGUAGGACUACCCGCUGAACUUAAGC